rnacentral:rRNA from 1 species
AUGACCUCUGCUUCCGGUGCCUCAGCACACGCCACCGCCGCAAAGAUUGCAGAGAUCCCUUUCGCUGCAUCAUUUGCAAGCGUCAGGGACACUCCGGCAAGCAGUGCCCAGAGAACCCAAGAAACAGAGGCCGGGGCGGCUCUGCCAAAGAGCGGCUCGGCCCCCGGCAGCCCCCCAAGUCAAUCCACAGCCGCAUCCGCUUCCCCACACCCCCCUCCUCCACCACCCCACUCACCGCCUGUCGCCACGACAUCCAGCGGCCGCGUCUCCCACGUCGACCCUUCGAGUCGCCCCCGUUCAAGCAACAAGGUCAUCGUCUCCUUGCCAACCAUGGACCAUGCCGUCUUCGUCCUCCGUCACCACGCUGUCACCCUCACUGCUGUCGGUGGGAAGGGCAUCACCAACCCAUUCAUGGUGGGGCAGGCCAUCGAGGAGCAGGUGCGCGUCUCGCUGCACCUGAUGCGGGUCAUGGAGCAUGACCCCGAGGACUUCUUCAUCCACUUCGACCUACCGGCGCUGAGAGACAACGCAGUGGCCUGCGGC